rnacentral:rRNA from 1 species
CGGCACCACGAAGACUAUACUGUCUCCCCCCUAUAAUCAGUGAAACUGAUCUCCCCGUGAAGAAGCGGGGAUGUACCUAUAAGACGAGAAGACCCCAUGGAGCUUUAAACUCAGUACCACCUACUUUUCACGACUCCAUAAUAACCCAGUAUGCAUGACUACUAGUUUUUGGUUGGGGUGACCGCGGAGUAAAACUUAACCUCCACAAUGAAUGGAACUAAUCUCCUAAUUCUAGACCCACACCUCAAAAAAUUAAAACAUUAACAUAAUUUGACCCAAACCUAUUGAUCAACGAACCAAGUUACCCUGGGGAUAACAGCGCAAUCCAUUUUAAGAGCCCCUAUCGACAAAUGGGUUUACGACCUCGAUGUUGGAUCAGGGUAUCCUAGUGGUGCAGCCACUACUAAAGGUUCGUUUGUUCAACGAUUAAAACCCUACG